GUGCUCGCUCCAAUGGCACAUAUACUAAAAUUAGAUACAGAGAAGAUUAGCAUGGCCCCUGCACAAGGAUGACUACACACACACACACACACACACACACACA